ACCGGCGGAGGACAUUG
rnacentral:rRNA from 1 species